rnacentral:rRNA from 1 species
GCUUGAGAAAAGAAUUUUAGUUCACCCUAAAGUUACCUUAAUUUCCCUAAAAUAAACUCCCAACUUUAGAGUAAUUCAAAUAGGGUUCAGCCUAUUUGAAACAGGACUCAACCUUAAUCACCGGGUAACUUACUCCUCUAAUUAAAUUAAGUUGGCCUAAAAGCAGCCACCUUUAAAAAAGCGUCAAAGAUUAUCUUUCCUUCUCUUACAAUAACCCAACCUUUACUCACCCCUUCCCCUCCCAUCAAGCACUUCCAUACCCCUAUGGAAUUUAUUAUGUUAAAACUAGUAACAAGAAGCAACCCUUCUCUUCAAUGUAAACGUAUUUCAGCAUAGACCCACUACUGAUAAUUAAUAAUAAAAGUAACAACUUCUUCCUAGAAAAUCUUACUCUACCCCCUAUUAACCUAACACAAGCGCAUUUCAAGAAAGAUUAAAAGAAAAAGAAGGAACUCGGCAAACAUCAGCCCCGCCUGUUUACCAAAAACAUCGCCUCUUGACCUAUCAUAAGAGGUCCAGCCUGCCCAGUGACACUUGUUUAACGGCCGCGGUAUCCUAACCGUGCGAAGGUAGCGUAAUCACUUGUCUUUUAAAUAAAGACUCGUAUGAAAGGCUUCACGAGGGCCUAACUGUCUCCUCUUUCUAAUCAGUGAAACUAAUCUCCCCGUGAAGAAACGGGGAUUUUUAUAUAAGACGAGAAGACCCUAUGGAGCUUUAAACUUUACAGCACUUGCUAUUUACACCCAUUUCCAGAAAAUUACCACCCCUAAAGCACCCUGUCUGUGAGCUUUCGGUUGGGGCGACCUCGGAGAACAACUUAUCCUCCACAAUGAACAGAUCAUUUUCUUUAGUAAAAAGUGACAACUUAAUACAUCAGCAAACUGACAUAAAUUGACCCAAAAUUUGACCAACGAACCAAGUUACCCUAGGGAUAACAGCGCUAUCCACUUUGAAAGUUCCUAUCGACAAGUGGGCUUACGACCUCGAUGUUGGAUCAGGAUAUCCCAUGGUGCAGCCGCUACUAAAGGUUCGUUUGUUCAACGAUUAAAAUCCC